GACGAACGCUGGCGGCGUGCCUAAUACAUGCAAGUCGAGCGGACCGAAGGGAGCUUGCUCCUUUAGGUUAGCGGCGGACGGGUGAGUAACACGUGGGCAACCUGCCCUGCAGACUGGGAUAACUUCGGGAAACCGGAGCUAAUACCGGAUAACACCGAAAACCGCAUGGUUUUCGGUUGAAAGGCGGCUUUUAGCUGUCACUGCAGGAUGGGCCCGCGGCGCAUUAGCUAGUUGGUGAGGUAACGGCUCACCAAGGCGACGAUGCGUAGCCGACCUGAGAGGGUGACCGGCCACACUGGGACUGAGACACGGCCCAGACUCCUACGGGAGGCAGCAGUAGGGAAUCUUCCGCAAUGGACGAAAGUCUGACGGAGCAACGCCGCGUGAGCGAAGAAGGUCUUCGGAUCGUAAAGCUCUGUUGUCAGGGAAGAACAAGUACCGUUCGAACAGGGCGGUACCUUGACGGUACCUGACGAGGAAGCCACGGCUAACUACGUGCCAGCAGCCGCGGUAAUACGUAGGUGGCAAGCGUUGUCCGGAAUUAUUGGGCGUAAAGCGCGCGCAGGCGGUUCCUUAAGUCUGAUGUGAAAUCUCGCGGCUCAACCGCGAGCGGCCAUUGGAAACUGGGGAACUUGAGUGCAGCAGAGGGGGGUGGAAUUCCACGU
rnacentral:rRNA from 1 species